GUGCUGCCCAUAUCCGCCACCUUGAAGACCGGCUUUCCGGCAGUGACAUUUUCACCUGCCUCGGCAUAACGUGUAAGCACCGUGCCGGAUAUAGGAGAUGUGAUUUUGCAUUUUGCCAGCUGGUCUUUCUUCUGCUCAAGCUGGAACCCUGUGCUGCGGAUCUCGGAUUCGGCGGACGUGUUUUUCCUCUCCCAGCUCUGUGUCUGGGCAUCCAUCUGCGCCUUCAGAAGCGCGAUCUUGUCCUUUAUGUCAUCGACCUGCUUGCCUGUGGCCGCAUUGUUGGCCAGCAGUUUGCUGUAUCUGGCAAGGUCAUUCUCCAGACUUUGCAUCUGGCUCCGGUUAGGCUCGUUCUGCUUCCUGAUGUCGAUUUGGGGGUUGAACUUUAGGUUUGGCGCCCGUAGCUAACGUGAUAAAUCGACCGCCUGGGGAGUACGGCCGCAAGGUUAAAACUCAAAUGAAUUGACGGGGGCCCGCACAAGCGGUGGAGCAUGUGGUUUAAUUCGAUGCAACGCGAAGAACCUUACCUGGUCUUGACAUCCACAGAACUUUCCAGAGAUGGAUUGGUGCCUUCGGGAACUGUGAGACAGGUGCUGCAUGGCUGUCGUCAGCUCGUGUUGUGAAAUGUUGGGUUAAGUCCCGCAACGAGCGCAACCCUUAUCCUUUGUUGCCAGCGGUCCGGCCGGGAACUCAAAGGAGACUGCCAGUGAUAAACUGGAGGAAGGUGGGGAUGACGUCAAGUCAUCAUGGCCCUUACGACCAGGGCUACACACGUGCUACAAUGGCGCAUACAAAGAGAAGCAAUCUCGCGAGAGCUAGCGGACCUCAUAAAGUGCGUCGUAGUCCGGAUUGGAGUCUGCAACUCGACUCCAUGAAGUCGGAAUCGCUAGUAAUCGUGAAUCAGAAUGUCACGGUGAAUACGUUCCCGGGCCUUGUACACACCGCCCGUCACACCAUGGGAGUGGGUUGCAAAAGAAGUAGGUAGCUUAACCUUCGGGAGGGCGCUUACCACUUUGUGAUUCAUGACUGGGGUGAAGUCGUAACAAGGUAACCGUAGGGGAACCUGCGGUUG
rnacentral:rRNA from 1 species